UACGUAGGGUGCGAGCGUUGCCCGGAUUUAUUGGGGCGUAAAGGGCGCGUAGGCGGUGAGAUGCGUCCGUUGUGAAAUCGCCCGGCUCAACUGGGCGGGGUCAGCGGAUACGGUCUCACUCGAGCAAGCUAGGGGGCAAUGGAAUUCCCGGUGUAGUGGUGGAAUGCGUAGAUAUCGGGAGGAACACCAGUGGCGAAGGCGGUUGCCUGGGGGCUUUGCUGACGCUGAGGCGCGAAAAGCGUGGGGGAGCGAUCCGG
rnacentral:rRNA from 1 species